rnacentral:lncRNA from 1 species
UUUGGCCUUACACAUUAGCCCAAUCUGGGCCUACGCUGCUGUGUUUCUCAAUUCCUUCCAGGUAUUUUUAGGCCCUGAACACAUAGAAUGGGGGCUCUGGAACAUUGGAACUCAGAGAGGAUGUGUGGUUUGCCAAGACUAAGCAGGAGGGCCCAUACAUCUUCCUUGUCUACGCUGCUUACAUUGGAGAGGUGAGUAUGGUGAGCAUACUGUGGGGGGAAAAAAACCAAGGGAGGGUAGACUGGGGUCCCUAUUCCUACUUCUCACAGAGUCAAGGGUGGACCCACCUGUUGGGCUCUAGGGAAGGUCAAGGCCUGACCUGUGCUCCCCUGCAGGUGCAGAACACACUACGGAGGAUGACAGAGAAGAAGGCAGCCGAGACACUCUCUGGCCCUUCUGACCUACAGGCUUCAUGUCCCUGGGCCAUGGCCCAGGAGAAUGCCCGAGUCUGGGAUUCUCAGAGAAGAUCUGAUGCUCUGAGAGGCUGUGGAGCUGACAGCGUUUAAGACUUCAGGGGUCUAAAAGGCACGUAUGUGCAGGGUUUUCCUACCAGCCUUUCAGGAGCUCAGUGGCCAGAAGACUUCAGCUCAUCAUCGGAAACCCAGACUGAAUUGUACAGCAGGCAGCCCCAAGUGAGAGAAAAGCAGCUCUGGACCAGACCGGCUGGUCCUUCUGUUUGUCUUAGUUCCUUCCACUUUCCAGAGGCGCCCAUCAGUGCCUGAUAAUAAACCAGGUGUUGAAGCUUUC